ensembl:snRNA RNU6-1042P RNA, U6 small nuclear 1042, pseudogene
GUGCUCACUUCAGCAGCACAUAUGCUAAAAUUAGAACGAUAUAGAGAAGAUUAGCAUGUCCCUUGCACAAGGAUGACAUGCAAAUUCAUGAAGCAUUCCAUAUUUUU